rnacentral:lncRNA from 1 species
GACAACAAAAAUGCGUGAAACGUACGCGUCGGGCGGCUGCGUGUGGAGUGGGGGAGUAAGUGAGAGUAAAUAACCAGAAGAUAUGUACGGAAACUUGAUGGAAACGUGAGAAGCAAGUAGAGGAGAUUAAAAAAAAAGGAAAAUAAAAAGAGAGAGUGACUCUUCUUGUACUUUUACCUUAAGAUUCUUGUUUUCACACUAUCUACCGACCCUUGUUCUAAUUUUCAC